CUUUCAUGGAUAUGAGCACAGACAAGACGACGAAACUGCAUCACAAAGGCCAGCUCACAUUACCCCAUGGUAUGACUGCUGAGACAUUGCCUUCGGUAGGAUCUGUGAGCCUCGUGGUGGACUCUGCUGUGUGGAUGAGCAGCCUGCAGA
rnacentral:lncRNA from 1 species